rnacentral:rRNA from 1 species
GACGAACGCUGGCGGCGUGCUUAACACAUGCAAGUCGAACGGAAAGGCACUGCUUUUGUGGGGUGCUCGAGUGGCGAACGGGUGAGUAACACGUGAGUAACCUGCCCUUGACUUUGGGAUAACUUCAGGAAACUGGGGCUAAUCCCGGAUAGGAGCUCCUGCUGCAUGGUGGGGGUUGGAAAGUUUCGGCGGUUGGGGAUGGACUCGCGGCUUAUCAGCUUGUUGGUGGGGUAGUGGCUUACCAAGGCUUUGACGGGUAGCCGGCCUGAGAGGGUGACCGGCCACAUUGGGACUGAGAUACGGCCCAGACUCCUACGGGAGGCAGCAGUGGGGAAUAUUGCACAAUGGGCGGAAGCCUGAUGCAGCAACGCCGCGUGCGGGAUGACGGCCUUCGGGUUGUAAACCGCUUUCGCCUGUGACGAAGCGUGAGUGACGGUAAUGGGUAAAGAAGCACCGGCUAACUACGUG